rnacentral:lncRNA from 1 species
AUGGGAGGGAGGGGCAGAAAAGGGUUAAGAAACUUGGCUGAAGAGCUGAAUGGCGUGGAGCAGCGAGGGGAGGGACCCGGCCGCCGCGAACUCGGCGGCGGAGGGAGGAGCGCGGCUGCGGCGGGCGGGCGGCGAGCGAGGCGCUCAAAGUCAGCCUCGCAGACAUUGCAGCAGAGCCCCGAACUCGGGAGGCGACGGCGAUCGCGGUGCAGGCGGAGGACGAGCCGGCCCCAGCCCGCCCGUGCGCACCGCCCGUGGCCUCGCGCGGCCGCAGGGCACGGCUCACCCGGGAAGGAGGGAGCGACGCGGAUCGGCGGCCCGGAGCCGAGGCGGCCUCGAAGUGCGUGGAUUGUGAGCUAUUGCAGAACUCAGUUCUCAGGACCCAUUAUUUCAACAUUUGGCAGAAACACAUCCAAAAGGUGUGCAGAGGACUGA